rnacentral:lncRNA from 1 species
GCCACUUUGCAGGGUCCCGGGCAGCCGAGGGCCGGGCCAGGCCUCCAUGCAGCAGGGAGCGUGGUCCUGCUGGGCGGGGUGGCGUCCGCACUGCGCACGCGUGACUCUCACACAGGCCUCUCCCUACCACCAUGAUAGAAGGCUCUGCAACAUGUCAAUGGUCCACCUUCAGCUCCUCCAACCCAGCCACAGGAAAAGCCCACCACUUUCACACAAAGAGACAACUGUAGACUUCAUAGUCAAGAAAUAA